UACGUAGGGUGCAAGCGUUAAUCGGAAUUACUGGGCGUAAAGCGUGCGUAGGCGGUUGUGCAAGACAGAUGUGAAAUCCCCGGGCUUAACCUGGGAACUGCAUUUGUGACUGCACGGCUAGAGUGUGUCAGAGGGGGGUAGAAUUCCACGUGUAGCAGUGAAAUGCGUAGAUAUGUGGAGGAAUACCGAUGGCGAAGGCAGCCCCCUGGGAUAACACUGACGCUCAUGCACGAAAGCGUGGGUAGCAAACAGG
rnacentral:rRNA from 1 species